rnacentral:rRNA from 1 species
CCUACGGGGGGCUGCAGUAAGGAAUAUUGGUCAAUGGACGAAAGUCUGAACCAGCCAUCCCGCGUGCAGGAUGAAAGCCCUAUGGGUUGUAAACUGCUUUUAGCAGAGAAGAAAAGCUUUCAUUAAUGAGAGUCUGACGGUAUCUGCAGAAUAAGCACCGGCUAACUCCGUGCACGCAGCCGCGGUAAUACGGAGGGUGCGAGCGUUAUCCGGAAUUACGGGGGCUUAGGCGUACGUUUAAGGAGGUGGUGAAAUCUUGUCGCUUAACGAUAAGAGUGCCAAUGAUACUGGUACUCUUGAAUUGGGUUGAGGUUAGCGGAAUGUGACAUGUAGCGGUGAAAUGCAUAGAUAUGUCAUGGAACACCAAUUGCGAAGGCAGCUAACUGGGCCUUGAUUGACGCUGAGGCACGAAAGCGUGGGUAGCGAACAGGAUUAGAUACCCGUGUAGUC